rnacentral:rRNA from 1 species
CCUACGGGAGGCAGCAGUGGGGAAUAUUGCACAAUGGGCGAAAGCCUGAUGCAGCAACGCCGCGUGAAGGAAGAAGGGUUUCGGCUCGUAAACUUCUAUCAACAGGGACGAAAGAAAUGACGGUACCUGAAUAAGAAGCCUCGGCUAACUACGUGCCAGCAGCCGCGGUAAUACGUAGGGGGCAAGCGUUAUCCGGAAUUACUGGGUGUAGAGGGUGAGUAGGGGGCAUGGUAAGCCAGAUGUGAAAGCCGUGGGCUAAACCAGAGGAUUGCAUGUGAAACUAUCAAGCUAGAGUACAGUAGAGGUAAGCGGAAUUCCUAGUGUAGCGGUGAAAUGCGUAGAUAUUAGGAAGAACACCAGUGGCGAAGGCAGCUUUCUGGGCUGAAACUGACACUGAGGCACGAAAGCGUGGGGAGCGAACAGGAUUAGAUACCCUUGUAGUC